rnacentral:rRNA from 1 species
GAUGAACGCUGGCGGUGUGCCUAAUACAAGCAAGUCGAGCGAACGGACGAGAAGCUUUCUUCUCUGGUGUUAGCGGCGGACGGGUGAGUAACACGUGGAUAACCUACCUAUAAGACUUGGAUAACUUCGUGAAACCGGAGCUAAUACUGGAUGAUAUUUUGAACCGCUUGGUUCAAAAGUGAAUGACAGUUUUGCUGUCACUUAUAGAUGGAGCCGCGUUGCAUUAGCUAGUUGGUAAGGUAACGGCUUACCAAGGCAACGAUGCGUAGCCGACCUGAGAGGGUGAUCGGCCACACUGGAACUGAGACACGGUCCAGACUCCUACGGGAGGCAGCAGUAGGGAAUAUUCCGCAAUGGGCGAAAGCCUGACGGAGCAACGCCGCGUGAGUGAUGAAGGUCUUCGGAUCGUAAAACUCUGUUAUUAGGGAAGAACAUAUGUGUAAGUAACUGUGCCCAUCUUGACGGUACCUAAUCAGAAAGCAACGGCUAACUACGUG